AGACGAACCGGGCGAACGUUAUUCGGAAUCACUGGGCUUAAAGCUUGCGUAGGCGGCUUGGCAAGUUGGGUGUGAAAGCCCUCGGCUCAACCGAGGAACUGCGCCCAAAACUGCCAGGCUUGAGGGAGAUAGAGGUGAGUGGAACUAAUGGUGGAGCGGUGAAAUGCUUUGAUAUCAUUAGGAACACCGGUGGCGAAAGCGGCUCACUGGGUCUCUUCUGACGCUGAGGCACGAAAGCUAAGGGAGCGAACGGGAUUAGAUACCCGAGUAGUCC
rnacentral:rRNA from 1 species